rnacentral:rRNA from 1 species
GUGGGGAAUUUUGGACAAUGGGGGCAACCCUGAUCCAGCCAUGCCGCGUGCGGGAAGAAGGCCUUCGGGUUGUAAACCGCUUUUAGUCGGGAAGAAAAGGCAGCUCUUAAUACGGGCUGUUCUUGACGGUACCGGCGGAAUAAGCACCGGCUAACUACGUGCCAGCAGCCGCGGUAAUACGUAGGGUGCGAGCGUUAAUCGGAAUUACUGGGCGUAAAGCGUGCGCAGGCGGUUCGUUAAGUUCGUUGUGAAAGCCCCGGGCUCAACCUGGGAACUGCAAUGGAAACUGGCGGGCUUGAGUAUGGCAGAGGGGGGUGGAAUUCCGCGUGUAGCAGUGAAAUGCGUAGAGAUGCGGAGGAACACCGAUGGCGAAGGCAGCCCCCUGGGCCAAUACUGACGCUCAGGCACGAAAGCGUGGGGAGCAAACAGGAUUAGAAACCCGGGUAGUCC